GUAUAGGGGAGCCGCAGGGAAACCGAGUCUUAACUGGGCGUUAAGUUGCAGGGUAUAGACCCGAAACCCGGUGAUCUAGCCAUGGGCAGGUUGAAGGUUGGGUAACACUAACUGGAGGACCGAACCGACUAAUGUUGAAAAAUUAGCGGAUGACUUGUGGCUGGGGGUGAAAGGCCAAUCAAACCGGGAGAUAGCUGGUUCUCCCCGAAAGCUAUUUAGGUAGCGCCUCGUGAACUCAUCUUCGGGGGUAGAGCACUGUUUCGGCUAGGGGGUCAUCCCGACUUACCAACCCGAUGCAAACUACGAAUACCGAAGAAUGUUAUCACGGGAGACACACGGCGGGUGCUAACGUCCGUCGUGAAGAGGGAAACAACCCAGACCGCCAGCUAAGGUCCCAAAGUCAUGGUUAAGUGGGAAACGAUGUGGGAAGGCACAGACAGCCAGGAUGUUGGCUUAGAAGCAGCCAUCAUUUAAAGAAAGCGUAAUAGCUCACUGGUCGAGUCGGCCUGCGCGGAAGAUGUAACGGGGCUAAACCAUGCACCGAAGCUGCGGCAGCGACACUAUGUGUUGUUGGGUAGGGGAGCGUUCUGUAAGCCUGCGAAGGUGUGCUGUGAGGCAUGCUGGAGGUAUCAGAAGUGCGAAUGCUGACAUAAGUAACGAUAAAGCGGGUGAAAAGCCCGCUCGCCGGAAGACCAAGGGUUCCUGUCCAACGUUAAUCGGGGCAGGGUGAGUCGACCCCUAAGGCGAGGCCGAAAGGCGUAGUCGAUGGGAAACAGGUUAAUAUUCCUGUACUUGGUGUUACUGCGAAGGGGGGACGGAGAAGGCUAUGUUAGCCGGGCGACGGUUGUCCCGGUUUAAGCAUGUAGGCUGGUUAUCCAGGCAAAUCCGGAUAAUCAAGGCUGAGGUGUGAUGACGAGGCACUACGGUGCUGAAGUAACAAAUGCCCUGCUUCCAGGAAAAGCCUCUAAGCAUCAGGUAACAUCAAAUCGUACCCCAAACCGACACAGGUGGUCAGGUAGAGAAUACCAAGGCGCUUGAGAGAACUCGGGUGAAGGAACUAGGCAAAAUGGUGCCGUAACUUCGGGAGAAGGCACGCUGGUGUGUAGGUGAAGUCCCUGCGGAUGGAGCUGAGACCAGUCGAAGAUACCAGCUGGCUGCAACUGUUUAUUAAAAACACAGCACUGUGCAAACACGAAAGUGGACGUAUACGGUGUGACGCCUGCCCGGUGCCGGAAGGUUAAUUGAUGGGGUUAUCCGUAAGGAGAAGCUCUUGAUCGAAGCCCCGGUAAACGGCGGCCGUAACUAUAACGGUCCUAAGGUAGCGAAAUUCCUUGUCGGGUAAGUUCCGACCUGCACGAAUGGCGUAAUGAUGGCCAGGCUGUCUCCACCCGAGACUCAGUGAAAUUGAACUCGCUGUGAAGAUGCAGUGUACCCGCGGCAAGACGGAAAGACCCCGUGAACCUUUACUAUAGCUUGACACUGAACAUUGAGCCUUGAUGUGUAGGAUAGGUGGGAGGCUUUGAAGCGUGGACGCCAGUCUGCGUGGAGCCAACCUUGAAAUACCACCCUUUAAUGUUUGAUGUUCUAACGUUGGCCCCUGACCGGGGUUGCGGACAGUGUCUGGUGGGUAGUUUGACUGGGGCGGUCUCCUCCCAAAGCGUAACGGAGGAGCACGAAGGUUAGCUAAUCCUGGUCGGACAUCAGGAGGUUAGUGCAAUGGCAUAAGCUAGCUUGACUGCGAGCGUGACGGCGCGAGCAGGUGCGAAAGCAGGUCAUAGUGAUCCGGUGGUUCUGAAUGGAAGGGCCAUCGCUCAACGGAUAAAAGGUACUCCGGGGAUAACAGGCUGAUACCGCCCAAGAGUUCAUAUCGACGGCGGUGUUUGGCACCUCGAUGUCGGCUCAUCACAUCCUGGGGCUGAAGUAGGUCCCAAGGGUAUGGCUGUUCGCCAUUUAAAGUGGUACGCGAGCUGGGUUUAGAACGUCGUGAGACAGUUCGGUCCCUAUCUGCCGUGGGCGCUGGAGAAUUGAGGGGGGCUGCUCCUAGUACGAGAGGACCGGAGUGGACGCAUCACUGGUGUUCGGGUUGUCAUGCCAAUGGCACUGCCCGGUAGCUAAAUGCGGAAGAGAUAAGUGCUGAAAGCAUCUAAGCACGAAACUUGCCCCGAGAUGAGUUCUCCCUGAGACU
rnacentral:rRNA from 1 species